rnacentral:rRNA from 1 species
AGCGAACGCUGGCGGCAUGCCUAACACAUGCAAGUCGCACGGGGGGGCUUCGGCCUCCCAGUGGCGGACGGGUGAGGAACGCGUAGGGACCUGUCGAGGGGUGGGGGAUAACCGCGGGAAACUGCGGCUAAUACCGCAUGACGCCGCGGCGGGACAGCCGGGGCCAAAGGCGAAAGCCGCCCGCCGAGGGGCCUGCGUCCGAUUAGCUGGUUGGCGGGGUAGCGGCCCACCAAGGCGUCGAUCGGUAGCUGGUCUGAGAGGGUGAUCAGCCACACCGGGACUGAGACACGGCCCGGACUCCUACGGGAGGCAGCAGUGGGGAAUAUUGGACAAUGGGCGCAAGCCUGAUCCAGCAAUGCCGCGUGGGUGAAGAAGGUCUUCGGAUUGUAAAGCCCUUUCGGCGGGGACGAUGGUGACGGUACCCGCAGAAGAAGCCCCGGCUAACUUCGUG